UACGUAGGCAGCGAGCGUUGUUCGGAGUUACUGGGCGUAAAGAGUGUGUAGGCGGUGUUCCAAGUCUGGUGUGAAAUCUCCCGGCUUAACUGGGAGGGUGCGCCGGAAACUGGAAUGCUCGAGGGUGGGAGAGGUAAGCGGAAUUCCUGGUGUAGCGGUGAAAUGCGUAGAUAUCAGGAGGAACACCUGUGGUGUAGACAGCUUACUGGACCACUUCUGACGCUGAGACACGAAAGCGUGGGUAGCAAACAGG
rnacentral:rRNA from 1 species